UCAUGUAUCAAAUACGAUCGUCAGGAUUUCCUAACCAUGCAUCGGGAACUUCGCCGCGAACGACAGGAAGAAAAAGUUGCUCGAAAACAUGGACACUGCAAAGGCUAAGUCGCUAAUUAUCAUUCAGGGGAUAACAUAUACCUGCAACUGGCAACUGCAGGUAACCUUGGAUGCCCCAGGGGGCACACUGAACGGAACCAGGCCUCGGCUAAGGCGUUGUUGGGUAUAUAAAGUGGGGGAAACACUCGAUCUGCAUCACACUGUCAGUCGCACUUAGCCACUACAUCCCAAAAACUCUUGAUACGCGUUUCGUCACCUCAAUAAUUUCCACUUAACAAGAUGAACUUCUUCCGCGCUCUCAUCGCCCUCCUGGUCGUCUUCACCGUCUUCACCUCCGUCAGCGAUGCCGCACCCUUCUUCGGGAUUGGGCGUCGCCCUGGAGGAGGCGCAAGAUCUAGUGCUAGAAGGUCUUCAAGGAUUGGCAACAGGAUCGUCCCUGACCCUAUGCCUUCGUUGCCCAUCCAGAAAUCAACCCCGUCUUCCCUGCAGAGCCUCUCUUCAUCUGAGCUUCUGUAAGGAGAACGUCACUUUGGAUUUCUUCUUUCAACACUUGAAGGUACUCAAUGGACCGGGAGGUUCUUGAUGCCCUGAGACAUUCUCUCCAUCAGUCUCAGGACGGCUGAACAGGCGCUGUCUCUCUCCAACUGCAUGCAAGUGCAGUUUCUUCUGAGACACCAAUAUGCCUCAGCCUUCCACUGAACCAUAACUGAGAUGUGCUGGGUCUCCUGAAGUUCACCUUUUGAUUUCCAGGAGGGCUAACCCUCACUUCCAGUUUGGAGAAGUUCAGCUGACCUGGAAUGGUUCCAGACGUCUGUAUUUCUACUUGGGAGCGUUCACAGAGCCGAGAGAAAAGCAAUGCCAUUUGUGUGUCUCUCGGCUGGUAACGUGUGCUACCUACUUAUCGUGGCUGUACAGUGAUUUAUGCUUCAUGAGAAGUCACUCAGUAGUGAGUCUCUUUCGCAGUGUGAUUUAAUCAAUGCAGAGAUGUAGGCUUGCCAAUGGGCAUGUCCACAGCUGGCUUAGGAAGUUUCCCUUCAAUAGGGAACACUUUCUCAUGACUCAGGAUGACAUGACUGUAAUCCUAGUCAGUGACUACCUCUGUAUGUCAAACUACAGUAUUACUUAGAUGUAUCUUUUAGAUUUCAUUUUCGUUUACUAUUCUUAUGAAAUGCAGUGUCUUUGUGUCUGAAUCAAGGCAAAGAUUUUCAUGACUAAGAAUAAAUUGUAAGAAUUACAA